UCUGAAAAUUGUCCUCAUUUUCACCCAUAAUUCUUUUCUCCUUCUUCUCUCUUCUCUCUCUCUUCACUCUCUCUACGCCGCCCCAGCUCCGCCCACCGCCGCCGGCCGAAAAUCUCCGCCGCCGGCGGACUACCUCCAAAUUCACACCAUGUAAUCUCCACAACUUCCUCUUUCCAUAUCUCCAAACCAAAUCCUUCAAAAAUCCCUCAAACUCCUUGAAUCUUAGAUCUAGGAAACUUUCCCGUCACUUUUUUGCCUAAAUUCUUGAAGCUCCAACCACUACCACCCCACAAUACUUACAUCAAUGGAUAGAGCUCCUCAAGACCUAACUAUUGAUACCAAUUUCACCCUGAAAAUCCGGCGAUCGAAAUCCGUUCAAAUUUCGGCGACCUCCCCGAACACCCUCUUUUGGCAUACCACCAUUUUUUCGGCCACUUGAAUUAUAAAAUGGUAAUUUUCGGACCAUGUAAACUCAUAAAAUCGAGUUGGAAUGAAAGAUAAUGACGCUGGGAAAUAUUAGUAGCUUUAUCCUUCUAUUGUAAUUCAUUUUUAUAUGCUCUUGAAUGUUUGAUAAUGUUAUAACGAUAUGUUAGUUAAUUAAAUUGUGUUAAGCAUCUUUAAUUAUUUUUAUUUUUGCAAAGCAUUAGAUA